rnacentral:rRNA from 1 species
GAGCGGAUGACGGGAGCUUGCUCCUGUGAUUCAGCGGCGGACGGGUGAGUAAUGCCUACGAAUCUGCCUGGAUAGUCGGGGGACAACGUUUCGAAAGGAACGCUAAUACCGCAUACGUCCUACGGGAGAAAGCACGGUGACCUUUGGGCCUUGCGCUAUCACAUGAGCCUAAGUCGGAUUAGCUAGUUGGUGGGGUAAUGGCUCACCAAGGCGACGAUCCGUAACUGGUCUGAGAGGAUGAUCAGUCACACUGGAACUGAUACACGGUCCAGACUCCUACGGGAGGCAGCAGUGGGGAAUAUUGGACAAUGGGCGAAAGCCUGAUCCAGCCAUGCCGCGUGUGUGAAGAAGGUCUUCGGAUUGUAAAGCACUUUAAGUUGGGAGGAAAGGCAGUAAGUUAAUACCUUGCUGUUUUGACGUUACCGACAGAAUAAGCACCGGCUAACUCUGUG